rnacentral:lncRNA from 1 species
AAUUCUUCAAAUUAUUUUUUGUUUGAAUUUCUCAGAUUGAUGGUCAAAUUAGUUCAAAUAUUAAAAGGAAUGAUUUGAUUCUACAUAUAUAUAUAUAUAUAUAUUUAUACAUGGAUUAUGUAUGUUAUGAUAAUUUAAUGAGCUAUAUAUCAAUUAAGAAAAAAAAAAUGUGACAUAAAUGAUAAUUGAGUUAAAUUAAUCUUUAACCGUAUAAUUCUGUCCAUACUGUGAAUUGUGCGAAAGUAGGAUACUCCAAAUUUAAGGGUUCAAGAAUUUUAUAAAAUAU